UACAGAGGUCUCAAGCGUUGUUCGGAUUCAUUGGGCGUAAAGGGUGCGUAGGCGGCGCGGUAAGUCGGGUGUGAAAUCUCGGAGCUUAACUCCGAAACUGCAUUCGAUACUGCCGUGCUUGAGGACUGGAGAGGAGACUGGAAUUUACGGUGUAGCGGUGAAAUGCGUAGAUAUCGUAAGGAAGACCAGUGGCGAAGGCGGGUCUCUGGACAGUAACUGACGCUGAGGCGCGAAAGCUAGGGGAGCAAACAGG
rnacentral:rRNA from 1 species